GGCCAAAAUGGACGUAGUGUC
rnacentral:miRNA from 1 species